rnacentral:lncRNA from 1 species
CAAAAUGUACAGAGGAAUACUAUCAGCAUAACACAACCUUUUAUUUUAUUCAUUCCCAAAGGGUCUGAUCCUGAAAUCACAAAACCUUCUCUCCUGAACAUACCAUACUUGCGGGCAUUUGAAGACAGACUUCUGCUUUGAAGAGGGCUGUUGCUGCUUUCAUUUAAAAUAUGGAACUUUCAUGGAGGUGACCGCAGAGUGAAGGAGGAUGUGAAAUCUUUGCCAUCAUCCUGCAGAGGAUGGAUGAGAGGACGCCGAGCAGACAUAAAGUGGAAUUGACAUCUCAAAUUGGGAUUACCUAUUUUCCUCUACCAGAUAAUUGAUGGAAAGAUGCACAGUGAAGCAGGCCUUUCUGAAGCAUAUCACUCUGCAUCUGAGAGAGU